ensembl:lncRNA
GAUCACCAUUAAAAUUGUACAUUCUAAUGUUGACAUUGAGAAAUGAACGUGAUUUUUUUUUUUUUUUUACAUUCAUUGAGGUUGUAUCACUUCUGUACAGAGAAUUUCAACCUGAUAGAGAAAAGAUUUGCCAUCUUUAUAGGCUCCAAUCUCUCUUUUCUACUCCCCUCUCCCUCCCUUUAUGACAUGUGUCCCCAAAGAGCGAGAAGUACAAAUGUUCUAUCUUAUUAUCUACAAGUAUUUAAUUAUUAAAUUGUAUGUACUGUAUGUAUGUAUUCAGAUCACUGGACAAAUGAAUUAUGGAUGACUUCUCUUGUUAAUUAUUUUAAUUUGUUUUUAACUUUAGUUUAAAGAAUGUCUUGGUGGUUGGAAUACUCGUAUCAUGUUGGCCUCUCAGCCUUUCCUAAGUGGGUGUGAUAUAUAAACGGUUUUACUUUACACGUGUGGACCAGAAUUCCUAGGUAAGAUAGUAAAACCUGACAAUUCUGUCAUAUAUGUUUUUUGUAGACAGUACCCACAAGGAAGAAGGCAAUUUCAAGGUUAGAUUUAUAGUUCAUUGUUUAAUUGUGGUUAGUGUUAGAUAUAAUGUUAGAGGUUAGGGAAAAUUGUGAAUAUUUUUGUCUGGUUCCCACAAGAAUUGAAAAACAAGCAUGCAGAUGUGGUCACAUGAUGACAAAUAAAACAACUGCUGUUUCAUUUUGGGGUUUAUUUUCUGUAGGAGGGAUUGUGAGGAGCAGUUAUGCAUUAUUAUAAUUAUUGUGAACGUGUAACCAUGUCCACAGCCUUACGAUAACCAGUCCCCCAUGGGCAUGAAGGAGAGUGAGGGAGAUCGAGAGUAAGAGAGAUGGGGAGAGCAAGUGACAGAGAUUGGGGUUUCCAAUGUAUUCCAUGAAUGGCUGCUGCCUUUUGUAGGAUGAAGCCAAAUGUUUAUGUGUGUGUGACUGCCUUAUGUUAGUGUCUGUGUGCCUUAUAUAGUCUAAGUUUGUGUAUAUGUGUGUGAGUGUGAAUAGUUUGUUCUAUAGUCAUGAUCUGAGGCAUUGAUUCUUUCUCCCUAGUAGGAACUCUUAUUUUGCGCUCACUCUCGCUCUCUUUUUUUGCUCUUUCACCUUUCAGUUGAGAGGAGGGGUGAGGUAGGGGGAGGUGGGAAGGAGUACUCCAGCCAAAUUAUAUAUAUCUA